AUGAGCCACCAGGCCGGCGGCGACGAGAUGGCUCUCCGCCGCCGCCGCCACCCGCGGACGGCCGCGCCGCUGGACAACGAGGACCUCCUCGGGGAGAUCCUCCUCCGCGUCCCCCCGAUGCCCUCCUCGCUCCUCCGCGCCGCCCUCGUCUCCAAGCUAUGGGAAGGCGUCGCCGCCGCCCCCGCCUUCCGCCGCCGCUUCGUCGCCCACCACCGGAGGCCCCCCGUCCUCGGCUUCUUCGAGAAGGGCGACGGGGAGCUGGUCUUCACACCCAUCCUCGACCGCCCCGACCGCAUCCCUCGCGCGCGCUUCUCCCUGCGGCCCGGCGGCGACGGCGACGAUUUCCCGUUCAAUUCGUGGGUUCUGCUCGGGUGCCGCCACGGCUGGGUCCUUAUGGUCAUCCGGUUUUGGCCUAUGUUCCUCGUGUUUCAUCCUGUCUCCGGUGACUGCCGCAGCGUCGACAUUCCGUCAGAUUUCUUACAGUGUGUGCACGACUUCAGCGGAGGCGUGCUCUGCGCUGUAGGGGACGACCAGGGCCACGUGCACGGAGACUGCCACCCAUGCCCCUUCAAGGUUGUCUUGGUAGGCACCAGAGAGAAACAAGAUCUAACCGUCGCCUGGGUUUACUCCUCAGAGACCGGCAUGUGGGGAGAUCAAGUUUCGACGACGCAACCAUGUGCCGGUUUGGUCUACAAUCUCCCCGGUAUGGUUAACCGUCUCCCCUGCACGCUUGUGGGCAAUGUCCUCUACUGGUUGUUGCAUGGGUCGGACAAUGGCAUACUCGAGUUUGAUUUGGAUAGCCAGAGACUAGCUGUGACAGAGAGGCCUUCAAGUGCGGGCAUCAACCGCGGCAACAGUCGGAUCAUCAGGUUAGAGGAUGGCAGUGUUGGCCUCGCUGUAUUUUUGUAUCCGAGCUUCAAUAUGUGGAAACGCAAGGUCAGUAGUCAGGGUGUUGCCUCAUGGGUGCGCCACAAGAUUAUUGACAUUCACAAGAUCAUUGGUCUGCCACGUCGGAUUAAGACAGGGAAGGGAGCUAUAGUCGGGUACUCCGAGGAUGCUAACGCGGUUUUUAUAUCGGUGUCUGGCUAUUUACAAUACUAUGCCUUCAUUGUUCAACUUGAGGCCAUGCAGUCCAGGAAACUUAAUCAAAUAUUUUUCGAGAAGUCCUACCAUCUGUUCGCACAUUUCUAUACUGCAGGUACAGUUCCAGCCAUUGAGCCAACACAGCAGCAAAGUACUGUUCCAGCAAUUGAGCCACCACAGCUGCAGGGUACAUAA
rnacentral:rRNA from 1 species